rnacentral:SRP_RNA from 1 species
GCCAGGCAUGGUGGCGCAUGCCUGUAAUCCCAGCUACUCAGGAGGCUGAGGCAUGACAAUCGCUUGAACCUGGGAGGUGUAGGUUGCAGUGAGCUGAGAUUGUGCCACUGCACUCCAGCCUGGGUGACAGAGUGAGAUUCUGUCUCAA